rnacentral:tRNA from 1 species
GGCGGUGUGGCGUAAUGGGUAAGGAGUUGGUCUUGUAACCUGAAGGUCGCAGGUUCGAUUCCCAGUUGCUG